GAUGAACGCUGGCGGCGUGCCUAAUACAUGCAAGUCGAGCGAACAGACGAGGAGCUUGCUCCUCUGACGUUAGCGGCGGACGGGUGAGUAACACGUGGAUAACCUACCUAUAAGUCUGGGAUAACUUCGGGAAACCGGAGCUAAUACCGGAUAAUAUAUUGAACCGCAUGGUUCAAUAGUGAAAGACGGUUUUGCUGUCACUUAUAGAUGGAUCCGCGCCGCAUUAGCUAGUUGGUAAGGUAACGGCUUACCAAGGCGACGAUGCGUAGCCGACCGGAGAGGGUGAUCGGCCACACUGGAACUGAGACACGGUCCAGACUCCUACGGGAGGCAGCAGUAGGGAAUCUUCCGCAAUGGGCGAAAGCCUGACGGAGCAACGCCGCGUGAGUGAUGAAGGUCUUCGGAUCGUAAAACUCUGUUAUUAGGGAAGAACAAAUGUGUAAGUAACUAUGCACGUCUUGACGGUACCUAAUCAGAAAGCCACGGCUAACUACGUGCCAGCCGCCGCGGUAA
rnacentral:rRNA from 1 species